GCAAGUCGCACGGGACUAGUUGAGUAGUAAUACAAGGCUAGUUUAGUGGCGCUCGGGUGAGUAACAUGUGAAUUACAUGCCCUAUAGAGGGGAAUAGCCCAGGGAAACUUGGAUUAAUACCCCAUAGUCUCGCAAGAGUAAAGGUGGCCAGUAGUAAUAUUGGCUGUCGCUAUAGGAUUGGUUCGCACCCUAUCAGCUUGUUGGUGAGGUAAUGGCUCACCAAGGCUACGACGGGUACCUGGUCUGAGAGGACGAUCAGGCACACUGGAACUGAGACACGGUCCAGACACCUACGGGUGGCAGCAGUCGAGAAUAAUUCACAAUGGGGGCAACCCUGAUGGUGCAACGCCGCGUGGAGGAUGACGGUCUUCGGAUUGUAAACUCCUGUCAUCUGGGAGUAAGGCAUGGUCGUGAAUAGCGAACAUGAUUGAUAGUACCAGAAGAGGAAGGGACGGCUAACUUCGUGCCAGCAGCCGCGGUAAUACGAAGGUCCCAAGCGUUGUUCGGAAUCACUGGGCGUAAAGGGAGCGUAGGCGGCGUGGUAAGUCAGAUGUGAAAUCCCGAGGCUCAACCUCGGAACUGCAUCCGAUACUGCCAUGCUAGAGGAUUGGAGAGGUAGCUGGAAUUCUUGGUGUAGCAGUGAAAUGCGUAGAGAUCAAGAGGAACACUCGUGGCGAAAGCGAGCUACUGGACAAUUCCUGACGCUGAGGCUCGAAGGCUAGGGUAGCGAAAGGGAUUAGAUACCCCUGUAGUCCUAGCAGUAAACGGUGCACGCUUGGUGUGAGGGGAAUCGACCCCCCUUGUGCCGGAGCUAACGCGUUAAGCGUGCCGCCUGGGAAGUACGGUCGCAAGACUA
rnacentral:rRNA from 1 species